rnacentral:rRNA from 1 species
UAGGGAAUCUUCGGCAAUGGACGAAAGUCUGACCGAGCAACGCCGCGUGAGUGAAGAAGGUUUUCGGAUCGUAAAACUCUGUUGUUAGAGAAGAACAAGGACGUUAGUAACUGAACGUCCCCUGACGGUAUCUAACCAGAAAGCCACGGCUAACUACGUGCCAGCAGCCGCGGUAAUACGUAGGUGGCAAGCGUUUUCCGGAUUUAUUGGGCGUAAAGCGAGCGCAGGCGGUUUCUUAAGUCUGAUGUGAAAGCCCCCGGCUCAACCGGAGAGGGUCAUUGGAAACUGGGAGACUUGAGUGCAGAAGAGGAGAGUGGAAUUCCAUGUGUAGCGGUGAAAUGCGUAGAUAUAUGGAGGAACACCAGUGGCGAAGGCGGCUCUCUGGUCUGUAAAUGACGCUGAGGCUCGAAAGCGUGGGGAGCAAACAGG